ACGGGGAUAGUUCAGUUGGGAGAGUGUUAGACUGAAGAUCUAAAGGUCACGUCUUCGAUCCUAGUUCACUGCA
rnacentral:tRNA from 1 species